UCUGCCUCCUGCUAACUAUUGUUUUGCUACAAAUAGCCUCCUUCCUUUGGAGACCUGAGAUCUGGCAGAGAAUGAAGGUAGAGAGGAGAUGCUGAAUCCAUGACACCACCAAAGACAACAGCUGGGCACUGUUUAAAGAAACAGUGUCUUGCAUCAUGAAACUGAAGCUCCUGCACGUUUUUGGCAAAUGAAGCAGAAUACAUUCGUGGGGCACAUCAAUGGCAGCAGUCUGUAAAGGGCUCAGGGAGGGCCUAAUCACCUCUUCAGCUGCCAUGCGGGGAAGGAUGACUUUUGCUGUGCUGUUAUGUGUUGGAUGAGAUGGCAGCUCCCUGCUGAAUGCUGUGCUGUGAUGGGGGCCUUAAGAUGUGUAACAUAUAUGACACAAUUGUUGAAAGAAGUUUGGUGGGGAUCUUUCACGUGGCUAGUUGGAACACGUGGUCAGAUUCAUGCUGAUUGACCCUGGCUGGACAUCAGUACUGCUGGGUGCGUGGGAUCCCACCAGGGAUGGAAAAUUCACCAUGGAUAGAAAACUGGUUUGCCUUUGUUUGAGUGCAUGACUCAGGAUGUAGCAAGGAUGUGGCAGUCAACACUCCUUCUGAGGGGCUGGAGCCCAGAGAUGGCAACAGCACUGUACUGAGAAUCAUAGAAUCACAAGGUUGGGAAUGACCUAUAAGAGAUAAUCCAGUCCAACCAUCUUCACAUUACCACUGCUACCACAAUGAGCACACGACAGGUGAAGAAAUAGCACCAGCGUCCUGCUGGAGUGCAUCACUUCACACUGGAUUAACCUGGAAGGCUUAUUCUGAUUACAACCUAGUUGGACUAGAUGAUAGCCAGAAGCGCCUUCCAACCCCUACAUUCUUGUGAUUCUGUGUGAAUUGACUCCAGUGUGUGAUUUUUGUGACAUUUUGUCAGAAUAUCCCCUAUUAGGCAGCCAAGUACUCUGGUCAAGGGCUAUAUUUUUGCUAUUGAGUAAAACAGUAGUUAGUACAUAAUGGCUCCAACUUCUCACUGAAACUUCUCUGGGCUUUACUGUACUGUGAGCAAAAAGUAAUGAGAUUGACCAGAACAAAAAAGCCCCAGGAAUCUUGAUUUUUUUUUUCUUUUUUUUUUUUUUUUCCUACCAGUUUGAGCUGCAGAGAGUCCCCUAUCCCUUAAGACCUGGUGCACGUGGGAAUAUUUCCACGUCCAGUGGGGUGACUGGGAUUAAAGCACGUGGCUCUGCAAAAUGAGGGUUUAACUCCACAACCUGCCGGCCAGCGCUGUGCUUGGCACUUGAACAAACCAACUGCAGCUUUAACCAGUGUGAUGUUGCAUCCACAUCAAGAAAGCCACUUCAUGCUUGGCUUAGGCUUGGUUGUUCCUGCUGGUUGUUCUGUGCCCAUAUCACCCUGAUAUGUCAACUGCUUGCUUUGCUGGGACUGCCAGGUUUGGUCAAAGGCACCUGAAAUGAAUGCGCUGGUGUCUGAGGAUGAUGGGUAGAUAUUUAUAUUUUUAAGCUCCUCUGCUGACUUCUUCCUUCCAAUCACAGUGAUGCUUUCUUCUCUUGAGGUUGUGUUCAUCCUUUUCUUUGCCCUGCUAACUUCUACUUUCUCUCUGCUAGGCUCUUUCUGUCUUGUUUCCAUGUCUGAUGGUAGAUGGGGGCAGGCUCUGUAUCUGGGAGACACCUGAGGAAACCAAGAAGCAGAAUUCUUAAUUAUUGGCUGGACAAUACUUGAUUUAUCCUCUUCCCAUCAUUGUGAUUGCUUUAUCUGUUUUUAAUGUCUGUGUUCUUUAAAAAACAAGUGCUGGGGGAGAGGCAUGCUCUGAGCUGGAUCUCAGAGCUGUGCUUCAUGGGACUGCUGCAGGUUCCUGAGCUGAACACCUCAUCCUUUGCUUCCUGUGGUCCUUUUCUGUGCCCUGGGCUUGGCCAUAGCUCAGUGCUACUGCCUGUGCCAGGGCUGUGCUCCCUUCAAUGUGGCUUGGGAAAAGCAAGGAGUGGAUAGUUGUGGGCAGCAAUGUGCAGAGCCUGGGGGGUGUCAGGGCUUGGUAAGCCCACAGGGUGUGUCUUAAUAAUUUGAAGAGUUUUACAAAUUGGCUUUCUGGAGCUGGGAGAUGGGCUGGGGAAAUGGGGAUCUCCUGCAAGCAAAGCCCUGUGUCUUCCCAAGGAAGGCUGCUCAGCUGCUGCCUUAGAGGAGCUCAGGGAGUUCUGUAGCAGCUGCGUGGGAGGAGAAGAGGGAUUUGUGGUUCAGCUUCUGGGAAUUGAAGUGUUGAAAUCUUGCCAGCCAAAAAUGAGAUGGUGGGUGAAAUCCAGGCCUUGCUGAAAUCACUGCAGUUUUGUUUUGUGCUUCAGUAGCAUCAAGACAUCACCCCAGCUCUGCAAGGGAAGAGUUGGAGGAAUGUCCACUGCAGUGCUUGUUGCUGAAGCUCCAUAGCCUGAACCCUCAUAGAAAAAUAAAUGUCACAGCUGCAGUGCCAGAGCAUUCCAAUUUGCAUGUGCAUAUUCAGAUAACAAAGGGAAAAACUGGUGAGGGGGUGUUUGUAGGGUUAAACUUCCUAUAUACUUCUUUUUAUAGUCAGGAGAGUGCACUGGGCAUGGACCAUUCCCUGGCUUUAAGUGUGGCUCUUCCUCUGGAGGGAAGAAUCUGUUUCAUCUCCCCAGGAUGGAGUGACCUGCCUGAUCUGCUGCUGCGCUGGAUGGUAUUAUAAAUACUUCUCUCACCUGUACAGGGAAAUCAAAUAACAAUUAAAAGGAACCAAGUAAAAAGACAUGAAUCAAUUCCAUUAGAAUAGCAAGCAUUUGCUCAAGUCUCCGUACGGGAUUGGUGUGUAAGCGCAUACAAAAAUGUAAAUGUAUUUUUCUUUUUGCCACAUAUGAUUUUUUUAAUGAUUAACUGGAUACUUUGGUCAGGAGAUGGUGCUGUAAAUAUGUCUGUCUUGGACACUUGUCUGAACAUCCCCAGUACUACGUGACACUGAGCUCUGGAAGCAGAUUGCCCUAAAGAUCUGUUCUGCAAUGAGAUCUGCACUCUGCUGCUGUGCGAAGACGAAUUAUAUGGUUGAAGGGCUGUCAGGAGGUUUUUGUACCUCAGAUAUGGUCACCUAGCAAUUUGCUAUCACCUGCCCUUCCUUGUACCAUUGUGGGCUUGUCCUGUCCUUUGUCCCAACCUCUCAAAGGAUGUGCUGUUUGGGCAAAAAAAACCAGGCAACUGCUACUGAGCCUCAAACGCCAAGUCACUGUACCAUGUAUAAAAGUACUACAAUAAACUCCUUUUAGCAACGUUAAUUCCUGCUGACCUUAGCAGUAAUGUCUGACAUCUUUCAUGGUUAAGGUGUCUUGGAGCAUACCCAGUAGGGAAAGCUCUCUGCAGACAUGUCUUCACAUGUUUUUUGUCUUGAAUCUGAGACCUAAAUGCAGAAUCUAAUAGCUUUGGACCUGGUAUGUUCACAUAAUAAUUCCUGGAGAGCUGCUAGAGAAGUGAGCCAUUGGU